rnacentral:rRNA from 1 species
GUGUCAGCCGCCGCGGUAAGACGGAGGAUGCAAGCGUUAUCCGGAAUGAUUGGGCGUAAAGCGUCCGCAGGUGGCAAUUCAAGUCUGCUGUUAAAGCGCAGGGCUUAACUCUGUAAAGGCAGUGGAAACUGAAUAGCUAGAGUGUGGUAGGGGCAGAGGGAAUUCCCAGUGUAGCGGUGAAAUGCGUAGAGAUUGGGAAGAACAUCGGUGGCGAAGGCGCUCUGCUGGACCAUAACUGACACUCACAGGACGAAAGCUAGGGGAGCGAAUGGGAUUAGAUACCCCAGUAGUCCUAGCCGUAAACGAUGGAUACUAGGUGUUGUCUGUAUCGACCCGGACAGUGCCGUAGCUAACGCGUUAAGUAUCCCGCCUGGGGAGUACGCACGCAAGUGUGAAACUCAAAGGAAUUGACGGGG